CCUACGGGUGGCUGCAGUGGGGAAUAUUGGACAAUGGGCGAAAGCCUGAUCCAGCCAUGCCGCGUGUGUGAAGAAGGCCUUCGGGUUGUAAAGCACUUUCAGUGGGGAAGAAAGCCUUGGGGCUAAUACCCUCGAGGAAGGACAUCACCCACAGAAGAAGCACCGGCUAACUCCGUGCCAGCAGCCGCGGUAAUACGGAGGGUGCGAGCGUUAAUCGGAAUUACUGGGCGUAAAGCGCGCGUAGGCGGUCUGAUAAGCCGGUUGUGAAAGCCCCGGGCUCAACCUGGGAACGGCAUCCGGAACUGUCAGGCUAGAGUGCAGGAGAGGAAGGUAGAAUUCCCGGUGUAGCGGUGAAAUGCGUAGAGAUCGGGAGGAAUACCAGUGGCGAAGGCGGCCUUCUGGACUGAUACUGACGCUGAGGUGCGAAAGCGUGGGUAGCAAACAGGAUUAGAUACCCCAGUAGUC
rnacentral:rRNA from 1 species